rnacentral:rRNA from 1 species
GACGAACGCUGGCGGCGUGCUUAACACAUGCAAGUCGAACGGAAAGGCCCUGCUUUUGUGGGGUGCUCGAGUGGCGAACGGGUGAGUAACACGUGAGUAACCUGCCCUUGACUUUGGGAUAACUUCAGGAAACUGGGGCUAAUACCGGAUAGGAGCUCCUGCUGCAUGUUGGGGGUUGGAAAGUUUCGGCGGUUGGGGAUGGACUGGCGGCUUAUCAGCUUGUUGGUGGGGUAGUGGCUUACCAAGGCUUUGACGGGUAGCCGGCCUGAGAGGGUGACCGGCCACAUUGGGACUGAGAUACGGCCCAGACUCCUACGGGAGGCAGCAGUGGGGAAUAUUGCACAAUGGGCGGAAGCCUGAUGCAGCAACGCCGCGUGCGGGAUGACGGCCUUCGGGUUGUAAACCGCUUUCGCCUGUGACGAAGCGUGAGUGACGGUAAUGGGUAAAGAAGCACCGGCUAACUACGUG